GACGAACGCUGGCGGCGUGCUUAACACAUGCAAGUCGAACGGUAAGGCCCUUUCGGGGGUACACGAGUGGCGAACGGGUGAGUAACACGUGGGUGAUCUGCCCUGCACUUUGGGAUAAGCCUGGGAAACUGGGUCUAAUACCGAAUAGGACCGCGUUCUGCAUGGGAUGUGGUGGAAAGCUUUUGCGGUGUGGGAUGGGCCCGCGGCCUAUCAGCUUGUUGGUGGGGUGAUGGCCUACCAAGGCGACGACGGGUAGCCGGCCUGAGAGGGUGUCCGGCCACACUGGGACUGAGAUACGGCCCAGACUCCUACGGGAGGCAGCAGUGGGGAAUAUUGGACAAUGGGCGAAAGCCUGAUCCAGCAACGCCGCGUGAGGGAUGACGGCCUUCGGGUUGUAAACCUCUUUCAGCGCAGACGAAGCGAAAGUGACGGUAUGCGCAGAAGAAGGACCGGCCAACUACGUGCCAGCAGCCGCCGUAAAAC
rnacentral:rRNA from 1 species